CCUACGGGUGGCUGCAGUGGGGAAUUUUGGACAAUGGGGGCAACCCUGAUCCAGCCAUUCCGCGUGAGUGAAGAAGGCCUUCGGGUUGUAAAGCUCUUUCGCAAGGGAAGAAAACUUACUCAAUAACACUGGGUGAGGCUGACGGUACCUUGAUAAGAAGCACCGGCUAACUACGUGCCAGCAGCCGCGGUAAUACGUAGGGUGCGAGCGUUAAUCGGAAUUACUGGGCGUGGUUUUUUAGCAGGGAUUUGAAAUCCCCGGGCUCAACCUGGGAACUGCGUUUGAAACUACAAGGCUAGAGUAUGGCAGAGGGGGGUAGAAUUCCACGUGUAGCAGUGAAAUGCGUAGAGAUGUGGAGGAAUACCAAUGGCGAAGGCAGCCCCCUGGGUCAAUACUGACGCUCAUGCACGAAAGCGUGGGGAGCAAACAGGAUUAGAUACCCGUGUAGUC
rnacentral:rRNA from 1 species